GACAGAGGGUGCAAACGUUGUUCGGAAUUACUGGGCGUAAAGCGUGUGUAGGCGGUCUGCUAAGUCGGGUGUGAAAGCCCCGGGCUCAACCCGGGAAGUGCACUCGAAACUGGCAGGCUAGAGUAUCGGAGAGGUUGGUGGAAUUCUCGGUGUAGAGGUGAAAUUCGUAGAUAUCGAGAGGAACACCGGUGGCGAAGGCGGCCAACUGGACGAAUACUGACGCUGAGACUCGAAAGCGUGGGGAGCAAACAGG
rnacentral:rRNA from 1 species